rnacentral:rRNA from 1 species
AGUAACUGGCAUUCCAUUCUUCUCUUCAGCCCUCCCCCUUUCCGCCAGCUAAAGCGAAGCAGGUUUGGGCUUGAUUAGUAUUUGGAUGGGAAAAGCCAAGAAAACGACAUGUCCCUGUGGCCA